GUUGGCUCUCAGACACAAAGCUCCGCCCCAAAAUGAAACUCUGGGAUUAUAGAAUGACAACGACUAGAAGAGACUCAUGAAACAUGAACAGUUGAUUUAACAUUACAAGACAGUGGUGUAAAUUGUCAUGAGAACGUCACAAGAUGCCAGACAUUAACGACUAAUAGAAGGUUGAUCAGGCAUAUAAAACAUCUCAACUCUCUCUCCCUGGCUUCUCCCUCUCUCAACAGGUAAACUAACUCAUAACUCUCUGUCUUUCCCUCUCCCUGGCUUCUCCCUCUCUCAACAGGUAAACUAACUAAUAACUCUCUGUCUUUCCCUCUCCCUGGCUUCUCCCUCUCUCAACAGGUAAACUAACUAAUAACUCUCUGUCUUUCUCUCUCCCUGGCUUCUCCCUCUCUCAACAGGUAAACUAACUCAUAACUCUCUGUCUUUCCCUCUCCCUGGCUUCUCCCUCUCUCAACAGGUAAACUAACUCAUAACUCUCUGUCUUUCUCUCUCCCUGGCUUCUCCCUCUCUCAACAGGUAAACUAACUCAUAACUCUCUGUCUUUCUCUCUCCCUGGCUUCUCCCUCUCUCAACAGGUAAACUUACUAACUCCCUCUCUUUCUCCCUCUCCUUUUGUUUCUCCUCUCUCCUUCUCUCGCUAGACUCGACCAUGAUAUGAGCCAGCUCCCUAGCCUCCAC
rnacentral:lncRNA from 1 species